AAUAAAAAUAAACCUAAAUCCCAUGUAUAUUUGAUAGGCAUCCUAAUACACUAAUGAAAUGAAUUGUGCAAAGAGGGUAUUACUAUGAUUUUUUAUAGAUUAAAAAAAAGCCCAAAAUUAUACUGUGUAUAGAUGAUCAGUAGACGUGGUAUUAAAAACUUUCUACACUUGACCUUUAAUUUACUUCUAAAUUCAUGAGUUUUAGGGAAACGGACAUGGAAUGCUUUAUUGAGUUAAUCUCUUAACUGUCAUGGUUCAAAUUUAAGAAAAAAAAAAUAUCAACCAUUCUCAUAUUGAUCAGAUUUUAAUCCAAUCCUUUAUAACAAUUAUUAUUUAAAGAUAAAUUAAACUUGAUCAGGACAUAGAAAGUAUAACCAGGUUAAACAACUCCAAUUUAUUUUGACUUUCCUCAUGGACAAAGAUAAUCACAAUUGCAAUCAAGCUGUGUUCUAAGGUGGUGGCCUGAAAAUAUAUUUAUUUUCCUGUAGAACUACCUUAAAAAGAUAAUGCUUAACCACUUAGAAGAGCCCACAAAAUCCAACUUAAUCAAUAAUGUGGUGAACUAAUACUAACAGAAGCUCUGACCUCCCAAGAGAAAGCAAAUGAUGGGCUCUGUGCCAAGGUGAGGAGGUGGAGAGGCUCCUGAAUAAGGCACUCUGGAAGUGUAAGUGGCCAUGGAAAUAUAGUCUCCCCUCAGUAUACAAGGAGGAUUGGUUCCAGGACCGUAACACCCACCCGUCACCUAAAUCCACGCAUAUUCAAGUCCCACGGUGGGCCCUGAGGAACCCGCGUACAGGAAAAGUUGGCUCUCUACAUAUGCAGGUUUUAUAUCCUGUGAAUAGGGUAUUUUUGAUCUGCCUUUGGUUGAAAAAUAUCUGUGUAUAAGUGGACCUAUGCAACUGUAAUCUCAAAUUUACAGAAAGUUACAAAAAUAAAAACAGUACAAGGAAUACUGUAUGUUCUCUAUCUGGAUUUACUGAUGUUACAUUUUAUCCUGUUUGCUUUAUCAUUUGUAUUCUCUCUCUCUCUCUCUCUCUCUCAGAUACAGGAACGUGCAUAAUUUGUUUUCUGAAUUAUACAUACAUUAUGGCCCUUUACCCCUAAAUAUUUCAAUGUGUGUAUUUCCUAAUAAGAAUAUUUUCUUACAAAACCACAGUUGUUAUCAACUUCACAGAUUUACAUCGAUGAAAUAUUUUUAUCUGGAAUCAGCCAUGUCUCCAAAGAGUUCUGGUUCCUUUUAGUGGAAAAUGGAAUUAGAGACAAAGAUCUGGGCACUAGGUUUGCUCAUUGCUGUUGACCCUGCAAUACUUCUUGAUUAAAUCAAUAUUCAAAUAGAUGAUCCUUCCAAUACAAUGGGCUCUCGAUUCCUUGUCCUCUUCUCCUUCAACAAUCUUACUGUUUACUCCAACUCAUUUAUCUUCUUCCAUGGUCACACUCUAUAAUCUUGCCAUUAUAAUGACUGAACUCUCUCUCAAAUCUGAGUUCAAGUAUGCUACUCUCAGGCUGCCAUUUCAAAUCUUUCCCUUUGAUUUUACUUAUUUUUAAUUUUAAUUUCUGUAAGUACACAGUAGGUAGAUAUAUUUAUGCUUCUCUUUGAUUUUUUUUUUUUUUUUAAAGAUAGGCUCUCUGUCACCCAAACUGGAGGACAGUGGCAUGUUCUUGGCUCACUGCAACCUUCACC
rnacentral:lncRNA from 1 species